AUGCUCUCGGAGUCUCAGGAUGCGGUCUCUUGGCCGCAUGCUACCUCUUGUCGCCUUUCUGUUAAGUCUUGUUAUCGUGUGCUCGCCCUGGGAUCGGUUGCUAACAAGUUCAAGACUGUUUGGGUGGCUAGGGUGCCGUCCAAGAUUAAGACUUUCAUGUGGCAGGCCAUGCGUGGCCGUCUGCCGGCCGCGGAUCAGAUCAAGAAACGCAACGGGCCGGGCUUGGAGUUUUGUGCCUUAUGUGGUGAGCGUGAGGACACGGAUCACAUUCUUUUCCGUUGCCCCUGGCCAAGUUUUUAUGGAGCUGCCUCUGUGAGUGGUUGGCGGUCUCCUGGACCCCGCUUAAUUUUGUUGAAUUGCGAUCCAAUGUUGCUCCCCUUCAUGGCCAAACUAGGAGGUUGUUUUGGUUUGGGUUUUCUGCCAUGUGUUGGACCCUGUGGAUGA
rnacentral:rRNA from 1 species